AUUGAACGCUGGCGGCAGGCCUAACACAUGCAAGUCGAGCGAGCGGCGGACGGGUGUGUAAUGCCUGGGAAUUGCCCAGUCGGGGGGGAUAACAGUUGGACACGGCUUCUCAUCCCUCAUACGAUUUGCAUGCCUAGGUGGGGUUAGCUAGUUGGUGAGGUAAUGGCUCACCAAGGCGACGAUCCCUAGCUGUUCUGAGAGGAUGAUCAGCCAAACUGGAACUGAGACACGGUCCAGACUCCUACGGGAGGCAGCAGUGGGGAAUAUUGCACAAUGGGGGAAACCCUGAUGCAGCCAUGCCGCGUGUGUGAAGAAGGCCUUCGGGUUGUAAAGCACUUUCAGCGAGGAGGCGUUACCCGCAGAAGAAGCACCGGCGAACUCCGUGCCAGCAGCCGCGGUAAUAC
rnacentral:rRNA from 1 species